GAUGAAGAACGUAGCGAAAUGCGAUAAGUAAUGUGAAUUGCAGAAUUCAGUGAAUCAUCGAAUCUUUGAACGCACAUUGCGCCCCCUGGUAUUCCGGGGGGCAUGCCUGUCCGAGCGUCAUUACAACCCUCAAGCUCAGCUUGGUGUUGGGCCCCGCCGCCCCGGCGGGCCCUAAAGUCAGUGGCGGUGCCGUCCGGCUCCGAGCGUAGUAAUUCUUCUCGCUCUGGAGGUCCGGUCGUGUGCUUGCCAGCAACCCCCAAUUUUUUUCAGGUUGACCUCGGAUCAGGUAGGGAUACCCGCUGAACUUAAACAUAUCAAUAAGCGGAGGA
rnacentral:misc_RNA from 1 species